GUAAAUCCUAAAGUAUUUAAAAAUGUAAAGACAAUAAAACUAGAAUAUUAAACCUAUCAAAAUAAUUUAUAUAAAAUAUAAAUUAUAAAUACUGUGCCACACUUCUCUGUAGUUGGAUUAUGUCACCAUUGUAAUGAAUUAAAUACUUUGAUGUAUGAAUGAUUAUUUUAUUUUUCUAAAUAUCUCUGCUUAGAAAGUGAUGGUUAUGUUCAUCCUGUCUUUUUUGGAUACUUUUUAUUUACAUUUCAAAUUUUAUUCCCUUUCCCGAUUUCCUGUCUAAAUGUAAAAAUAAACACAGAAACUGUUGACACACUAUUGCUCAAUCUUUUAAGUAUUCCCGUUGCUCACUUCUGAAUAACUCAUCUACCCUAUGAAACGUAUGCAGCUAAAUUUCCCCUUUAAAAUGCUACAUUUUUAAUUAUUUCUCCUUUGGAAAUUAUAAUAAUAACAUUUCUCCCUUACCAUUACUUCCUCUACACACUCUCAUAUCCAUUCCCUUGCUCUCUUUUAAACCCAUGACAUCACUUUUCAUUAACUGUUGGUAGAUAUACAUAUAUAUAUAUGAAUGUAUAUGUGUAUGUGUAUAUGUGUAUACAUAUAUAUUCCUAAAUAUAUCCUAAGUCUUUAUAAUGUCAAAUUUAUUUCCAUCAACACAGAUUAUCUAACAUUUAACAGGUUCUUUGGAGAUUUGACGGCAAAAAACCACCCACCUUAGGACCCAAUACCAGACUCUACAAGUGGCUUCCCCAAAAUGAUCUUCUUGGUCAUCCAAAAACCAAAGCCUUUGUAACGCAUGGUGGAGCCAAUGGCAUCUAUGAGGCGAUCCAUCAUGGAAUCCCUAUGAUUGGCAUUCCCCUAUUUGGAGAGCAACAUGAUAACAUUGCCCACAUGGUGGCCAAAGGAGCAGCUGUGGAAGUAAAUUUCAGGACAAUGUCAAAGUCAGAUAUGCUCAAUGCACUGGAGGAAGUCAUAAACAAUCCUUUUUAUAAAAAGAAUGCUAUGUGGUUGUCAACCAUUCACCAUGACCAGCCUACGAAGCCACUGGACAGAGCUGUCUUCUGGAUUGAGUUUGUCAU
rnacentral:lncRNA from 1 species